AUUGAACGCUGGCGGCAGGCCUAACACAUGCAAGUCGAGCGGCAGCGGGAAAGUAGCUUGCUACUUUUGCCGGCGAGCGACGGACGGGUGAGUAAUGCCUGGGAAAUUGCCCAGUCGAGGGGGAUAACAGUUGGAAACGACUGCUAAUACCGCAUACGCCCUACGGGGGAAAGCAGGGGACCUUCGGGCCUUGCGCGAUUGGAUAUGCCCAGGUGGGAUUAGCUAGUUGGUGAGGUAAUGGCUCACCAAGGCGACGAUCCCUAGCUGGUCUGAUGGGAUGAUCAGCCACACUGGAACUGACACGCGGGCCAGACUCCUACAGGAGGCAGCAGUGGGGAAUAUUGCACAAUGGGGGAAACCCUGAUGCAGCCAUGCCGCGUGUGUGAAGAAGGCCUUCGGGUUGUAAAGCACUUUCAGCGAGGAGGAAAGGUCAGUAGCUAAUAUCUGCUGGCUGUGACGUUACUCGCAGAAGAAGCACCGGCUAACUCCGUGCCAGCCGCCGCAGUAAGAC
rnacentral:rRNA from 1 species